rnacentral:rRNA from 1 species
UACGAAGGGGGCUAGCGUUGUUCGGAAUCACUGGGCGUAAAGGGCGCGUAGGCGGCUUUGUAAGUCGGGGGUGAAAGCCUGUGGCUCAACCACAGAAUUGCCUUCGAUACUGCAUGGCUUGAGACCGGAAGAGGUAAGUGGAACUGCGAGUGUAGAGGUGAAAUUCGUAGAUAUUCGCAAGAACACCAGUGGCGAAGGCGGCUUACUGGUCCGGUUCUGACGCUGAGGCGCGAAAGCGUGGGGAGCAGACAGG